rnacentral:rRNA from 1 species
GAAGGUGACCUGUGAGGGUUGCUGGAGGUAUCAGAAGUGCGAAUGCUGACAUAAGUAACGAUAAAGCGGGUGAAAAGCCCGCUCGCCGGAAGACCAAGGGUUCCUGUCCAACGUUAAUCGGGGCAGGGUGAGUCGACCCCUAAGGCGAGGCCGAAAGGCGUAGUCGAUGGGAAACAGGUUAAUAUUCCUGUACUUGGUGUUACUGCGAAGGGGGGACGGAGAAGGCUAUGUUAGCCGGGCGACGGUUGUCCCGGUUUAAGCAUGUAGGCUGGUUAUCCAGGCAAAUCCGGAUAACCAAGGCUGAGGUGUGAUGACGAGGCACUACGGUGCUGAAGUAACAAAUGCCCUG